UUUUUAAUAAUUACUAGGAGCCAUGAAGAACUAAUCCAUUGUUUCAGUUUGUACUACUGCCUAGUUAAUUAUUUAGAAAUGAUUUAUUAAAAACAAGAAGUGAGGAAACCAUCAUGCUAAGCAGGCAAUUCUGGACAAGAGACUUCUUUCAAGCAAACUGGGCCUUACUGUAAUCCUUCCAAACUGAACAUUGAUUAAGCUCAAAAACCUCAUCUUCAAGAUUACCUGGGAUUUUAUUAACUGAUUUUUCUAAGCCUCUGGCUUCUUUCUUCCUCACUACAAAGAUGUUUCAUAUCAUUUCAUAUUUACAAAGCAGAGAAAAAGAAGUUUCAGAGUUGGCAGGGACCUUGGCAGUCACCUAGUCUAACUGCUGUCUCUUCCUCCCCUCCACUGCUGCCAUUUUACUAGAAGUCACAGCUAAUUAAUGGCAGAUCCAGCACUAGACCCCAGUCUUCUUACUGGCAGGACUCCUCAUGGAAGCAGUUGAGGACUUAUAUUCUCUCUAUAGGUGCCAUCUAAAAUUAUUCAUUUUAGUCUAAAGUCCUUCCUUAACCAAGGUGAGUACCAUAUAGCCCUGCUUGAAAAUAUAGGAUUCCCUUACAGUACAGCUUAAGUGGCAAUAGGUUGUGUUACGGUUAAAUGCUUCUCUGGCCUUAACAUCAAUUUGAACAACUACCUACACGCAAAAAUACCUACACAACAGUGAAGGAAACCAGGUGAGAGAUGACAGCACUUUGGUGGAGCUCAGAAAUAAGAAAUGAUACACUGAAGAGUGUAAGACAGACAGUUUUAUACUACCCACAUCAAUCCCUCUCCCAACCCCAUGCAGCACAGUACGGAAAGAUACCCUCUGCUUGGUAGAAGAGGAGGGAAGUGAGCACCAGACGUUACCUUGGACCCCAACACCAGGCUGCCUCAGUAAAUCCCACUGCUGG
rnacentral:lncRNA from 1 species